rnacentral:rRNA from 1 species
GACGAACGCUGGCGGCGUGCUUAACACAUGCAAGUCGAGCGGUAAGGCCCCUCGGGGUACGACGAGCGGCGAACGGGUGAGUAACACGUGGGUGACCUGCCCUCAGCUCUGGGAUAAGCCUGGGAAACUGGGUCUAAUACCGGAUAUGACUCCAUGACGCAUGUUGUGGGGUGGAAAGCCUUGUGCGGCUGAGGAUGGGCCCGCGGCCUAUCAGCUUGUUGGUGGGGUGANGGCCUACCAAGGCGACGACGGGUAGCCGGCCUGAGAGGGCGACCGGCCACACUGGGACUGAGACACGGCCCAGACUCCUACGGGAGGCAGCAGUGGGGAAUCUUGCGCAAUGGGCGAAAGCCUGACGCAGCGACGCCGCGUGAGGGAUGACGGCC